GUUGUAAGGUUAAGCGACUAAGCGUACACGGUGGAUGCCCUGGCAGUCAGAGGCGAUGAAGGACGUGCUAAUCUGCGAUAAGCGUCGGUAAGGUGAUAUGAACCGUUAUAACCGGCGAUUUCCGAAUGGGGAAACCCAGUGUGUUUCGACACACUAUCAUUAACUGAAUCCAUAGGUUAAUGAGGCGAACCGGGGGAACUGAAACAUCUAAGUACCCCGAGGAAAAGAAAUCAACCGAGAUUCCCCCAGUAGCGGCGAGCGAACGGGGAGCAGCCCAGAGCCUGAAUCAGUGUGUGUGUUAGUGGAAGCGUCUGGAAAGGCGCGCGAUACAGGGUGACAGCCCCGUACACAAAAAUGCACAUGCUGUGAGCUCGAUGAGUAGGGCGGGACACGUGGUAUCCUGUCUGAAUAUGGGGGGACCAUCCUCCAAGGCUAAAUACUCCUGACUGACCGAUAGUGAACCAGUACCGUGAGGGAAAGGCGAAAAGAACCCCGGCGAGGGGAGUGAAAAAGAACCUGAAACCGUGUACGUACAAGCAGUGGGAGCACGCUUAGGCGUGUGACUGCGUACCUUUUGUAUAAUGGGUCAGCGACUUAUAUUCUGUAGCAAGGUUAACCGAAUAGGGGAGCCGAAGGGAAACCGAGUCUUAACUGGGCGUUAAGUUGCAGGGUAUAGACCCGAAACCCGGUGAUCUAGCCAUGGGCAGGUUGAAGGUUGGGUAACACUAACUGGAGGACCGAACCGACUAAUGUUGAAAAAUUAGCGGAUGACUUGUGGCUGGGGGUGAAAGGCCAAUCAAACCGGGAGAUAGCUGGUUCUCCCCGAAAGCUAUUUAGGUAGCGCCUCGUGAAUUCAUCUCCGGGGGUAGAGCACUGUUUCGGCAAGGGGGUCAUCCCGACUUACCAACCCGAUGCAAACUGCGAAUACCGGAGAAUGUUAUCACGGGAGACACACGGCGGGUGCUAACGUCCGUCGUGAAGAGGGAAACAACCCAGACCGCCAGCUAAGGUCCCAAAGUCAUGGUUAAGUGGGAAACGAUGUGGGAAGGCCCAGACAGCCAGGAUGUUGGCUUAGAAGCAGCCAUCAUUUAAAGAAAGCGUAAUAGCUCACUGGUCGAGUCGGCCUGCGCGGAAGAUGUAACGGGGCUAAACCAUGCACCGAAGCUGCGGCAGCGACGCUUAUGCGUUGUUGGGUAGGGGAGCGUUCUGUAAGCCUGCGAAGGUGUGCUGUGAGGCAUGCUGGAGGUAUCAGAAGUGCGAAUGCUGACAUAAGUAACGAUAAAGCGGGUGAAAAGCCCGCUCGCCGGAAGACCAAGGGUUCCUGUCCAACGUUAAUCGGGGCAGGGUGAGUCGACCCCUAAGGCGAGGCCGAAAGGCGUAGUCGAUGGGAAACAGGUUAAUAUUCCUGUACUUGGUGUUACUGCGAAGGGGGGACGGAGAAGGCUAUGUUGGCCGGGCGACGGUUGUCCCGGUUUAAGCGUGUAGGCUGGUUUUCCAGGCAAAUCCGGAAAAUCAAGGCUGAGGCGUGAUGACGAGGCACUACGGUGCUGAAGCAACAAAUGCCCUGCUUCCAGGAAAAGCCUCUAAGCAUCAGGUAACAUCAAAUCGUACCCCAAACCGACACAGGUGGUCAGGUAGAGAAUACCAAGGCGCUUGAGAGAACUCGGGUGAAGGAACUAGGCAAAAUGGUGCCGUAACUUCGGGAGAAGGCACGCUGAUAUGUAGGUGAGGUCCCUCGCGGAUGGAGCUGAAAUCAGUCGAAGAUACCAGCUGGCUGCAACUGUUUAUUAAAAACACAGCACUGUGCAAACACGAAAGUGGACGUAUACGGUGUGACGCCUGCCCGGUGCCGGAAGGUUAAUUGAUGGGGUUAGCGCAAGCGAAGCUCUUGAUCGAAGCCCCGGUAAACGGCGGCCGUAACUAUAACGGUCCUAAGGUAGCGAAAUUCCUUGUCGGGUAAGUUCCGACCUGCACGAAUGGCGUAAUGAUGGCCAGGCUGUCUCCACCCGAGACUCAGUGAAAUUGAACUCGCUGUGAAGAUGCAGUGUACCCGCGGCAAGACGGAAAGACCCCGUGAACCUUUACUAUAGCUUGACACUGAACAUUGAGCCUUGAUGUGUAGGAUAGGUGGGAGGCUUUGAAGUGUGGACGCCAGUCUGCAUGGAGCCGACCUUGAAAUACCACCCUUUAAUGUUUGAUGUUCUAACGUUGACCCGUAAUCCGGGUUGCGGACAGUGUCUGGUGGGUAGUUUGACUGGGGCGGUCUCCUCCUAAAGAGUAACGGAGGAGCACGAAGGUUGGCUAAUCCUGGUCGGACAUCAGGAGGUUAGUGCAAUGGCAUAAGCCAGCUUGACUGCGAGCGUGACGGCGCGAGCAGGUGCGAAAGCAGGUCAUAGUGAUCCGGUGGUUCUGAAUGGAAGGGCCAUCGCUCAACGGAUAAAAGGUACUCCGGGGAUAACAGGCUGAUACCGCCCAAGAGUUCAUAUCGACGGCGGUGUUUGGCACCUCGAUGUCGGCUCAUCACAUCCUGGGGCUGAAGUAGGUCCCAAGGGUAUGGCUGUUCGCCAUUUAAAGUGGUACGCGAGCUGGGUUUAGAACGUCGUGAGACAGUUCGGUCCCUAUCUGCCGUGGGCGCUGGAGAACUGAGGGGGGCUGCUCCUAGUACGAGAGGACCGGAGUGGACGCAUCACUGGUGUUCGGGUUGUCAUGCCAAUGGCACUGCCCGGUAGCUAAAUGCGGAAGAGAUAAGUGCUGAAAGCAUCUAAGCACGAAACUUGCCCCGAGAUGAGUUCUCCCUGACCCUUUAAGGGUCCUGAAGGAACGUUGAAGACGACGACGUUGAUAGGCCGGGUGUGUAAGCGCAGCGAUGCGUUGAGCUAACCGGUACUAAUGAACCGUGAGGCUUAACCUUACAACGCCGAAGCUGUU
rnacentral:rRNA from 1 species